GCCCGGGUGGCGGAAUAGGUAGACGCAAGGGACUUAAAAUCCCUCGGGAUCUAAUCCCGUGCCGGUUCGAUUCCGGCCUCGGGCA
rfam:Gammaproteobacteria bacterium RIFCSPHIGHO2_12_FTLL_45_12 rifcsphigho2_12_scaffold_10172, whole genome shotgun sequence.